rnacentral:rRNA from 1 species
GACGAACGCUGGCGGCGUGCUUAACACAUGCAAGUCGAACGGAAAGGCCCUGCUUUUGUGGGGUGCUCGAGUGGCGAACGGGUGAGUAACACGUGAGUAACCUGCCCUUGACUUUGGGAUAACUUCAGGAAACUGGGGCUAAUACCGGAUAGGAGCUCCUGCUGCAUGGUGGGGGUUGGAAAGUUUCGGCGGUUGGGGAUGGACUCGCGGCCUAUCAGCUUGUUGGUGGGGUAGUGGCUUACCAAGGCUUUGACGGGUAGCCGGCCUGAGAGGGUGACCGGCCACAUUGGGCCUGCGAUACGGCCCAGACUCCUACGGGAGGCAGCAGUGGGGAACAUUGCACAAUGGGCGGAAGCCUGAUGCAGCAACGCCGCGUGCGGGAUGACGGCCUUCGGGUUGUAAACCGCUUUCGCCUGUGACGAAGCGUGAGUGACGGUAAUGGGUAAAGAAGCACCGGCUAACUACGUG